AACGUACGCUGGCGGCACGCCUAACACAUGCAAGUCGAACGCAGUAGCAAUACUGAGUGGCAAACGGGUGAGUAUAAUGUGGGAAUCUGCCUUUUGGUUUGGAAUAACACGGGGAAACUUGUGCUAAUACCGAAUAAGCCUUUACGGGGAAAGUUUUAACGCCGAAAGAUGAGCCUGCACUUGAUUAGCUAGUUGGUAAGGUAAAAGCUU
rnacentral:rRNA from 1 species